UACGUAGGGGGCAAGCGUUAUCCGGAUUUACUGGGUGUAAAGGGAGCGUAGACGGCGAUGCAAGUCUGAAGUGAAAGGCGGGGGCCCAACCCCCGGACUGCUUUGGAAACUGUAUGGCUGGAGUGCAGGAGAGGUAAGUGGAAUUCCUAGUGUAGCGGUGAAAUGCGUAGAUAUUGGGAGGAACACCAGUGGCGAAGGCGGCUUACUGGACUGUAACUGACGUUGAGGCUCGAAAGCGUGGGGAGCAAACAGG
rnacentral:rRNA from 1 species